rnacentral:rRNA from 1 species
UACGUAGGGUGCGAGCGUUAAUCGGAAUUACUGGGCGUAAAGCGUGCGCAGGCGGUUGUGCAAGACAGAUGUGAAAUCCCCGGGCUCAACCUGGGAACUGCAUUUGUGACUGUACGGCUGGAGUGCGGCAGAGGGGGAUGGAAUUCCGCGUGUAGCAGUGAAAUGCGUAGAUAUGCGGAGGAACACCGAUGGCGAAGGCAAUCCCCUGGGCCUGCACUGACGCUCAUGCACGAAAGCGUGGGGAGCAAACAGG